GGACCCGACCGCUAUCGGGGUAGGGCUAAGCCAUGGGAGUCGCACGCUCCGCCGCCGCGGAACGUGGCGCACGGCUGAGUAGCACGUGGCUAACCUGCCCUCGGGAGGGGGAUAACACCGGGAAACUGGUGCUAAUCCCCCAUAGGGGAAGGCGCCUGGAAGGGUCCUUCCCCGAAAAGGCCCGGCAGAGGUUAGCGCUGCCGAGUCGCCCGAGGAUGGGGCUACGGCCCAUCAGGUAGUUGGCGGGGUAAUGGCCCGCCAAGCCGAUAACGGGUGGGGGCCGUGAGAGCGGGAGCCCCCAGAUGGGCACUGAGACAAGGGCCCAGGCCCUAAGGGGCGCACCAGGCGCGAAACCUCCGCAAUGCGGGAAACCGUGACGGGGCUACCCCGAGUGCCUCCUUUCCGGGGGCUUUUCCCCGCUGUAGGAAGGCGGGGGAAUAAGCGGGGGGCAAGUCUGGUGUCAGCCGCCGCGGUAAUACCAGCCCCGCGAGUGGUCGGGACGGUUAUUGGGCCUAAAGCGCCCGUAGCCGGCCCGGCAAGUCCCCUCCUAAAUCCCCGGGCUUAACCUGGGGACUGGGGGGGAUACUGCCGGGCUAGGGGGCGGGAGAGGCCGAGAGUACUCCCGGGGUAGGGGAA
rnacentral:rRNA from 1 species